GGCCCCAUCAUCUAGUGGCCUAGGAUGCCGCCCUCUCACGGCGGUAACGCGGGUUCGAAUCCCGCUGGGGCUACCA
rnacentral:tRNA from 1 species